rnacentral:lncRNA from 1 species
CUAGGCUCCUUUACUCUAUCCAUUAUGCUACCUAGAUGCCCUGAAAUUGGAAGAAGUCGCUAAUGUUAGUGCUUUGUCCUUCUAUAAGAGUUUUAGUCCCUGGGGCACCUUCUUCAAGAAGGACUUGAGAAGACCUCUUGUGUGAAGGCUGAUGAAUCUGAUUUCGCUGCCAAAUUACCCCAAGCAAUCUAGCCAAAUAGAGUGUGCACCAUGGGCUCUGUCACCACCAUAUGUCCCCUGAACAACUCCAGUGGGAUGUGGGACAAGAUGUACAAUCAGCUCCUUUCAAACCUAGCUCCUCCACUGCGAAUUUCAGGAUGCAUUGAUUCACGCCUAGGCAAAUCCAGCCAUCAAUCUGACCUGCCCAAGACAGCUGUAGGCUAAAGGAAUGUAAGGGCUUGCAGCAACAGAAACAUUGGAAAGCUGGGGAAGUGUGGGCAGAAUGCUUGUGGUGCCGUUCUCCUGCCAGUGUUCUGCUGCACAGUAAUGUCAUCUUGUCUGGCAGGGGGUACCCUGAAGGCUCUGGCUCUGCCACUCGCCCUUGCUCCAAAUCUCUAGUUCUCUAUUUGAUGUGUUACUUGGCUGGACAAAGUUACAGGAAAUGUCAUCUUCCUUCUCCUGUGGUCAUGAAAUAAAUGAAUAAAUUACUCAAC